rnacentral:rRNA from 1 species
CGUGUAGGCGGCUCCUUAAGUCUGAUGUGAAAGCCCUGGGCUCAACCCGGGAAGUGCAUUGGAAACUGGGGAACUUGAAUACGGGAGAGGGUAGUGGAAUUCCUGGUGUAGGAGUGAAAUCCGUAGAUAUCAGGGGGAACACCGGUGGCGAAGGCGGCUGCCUGGACCGAUAUUGACGCUGAGACGCGAAAGCGUGGGGAGCAAACAGGAUUAGAUACCCUGGUAGUCCACGCCGUAAACGAUGAGUACUAGGUGUUGCGGGUAUUGACCCCUGCAGUGCCGCAGCUAACGCAUUAAGUACUCCGCCUGGGAAGUACGGUCGCAAGACUAAA